rnacentral:rRNA from 1 species
AUUGAACGCUGGCGGCAUGCCUUACACAUGCAAGUCGAACGGCAGCACGGGAGCAAUCCUGGUGGCGAGUGGCGAACGGGUGAGUAAUAUAUCGGAACGUGCCCAGUCGUGGGGGAUAACGUAGCGAAAGCUACGCUAAUACCGCAUACGAUCUAUGGAUGAAAGCGGGGGAGUCGCAAGACCUCGCGCGAUUGGAGCGGCCGAUAUCAGAUUAGGUAGUUGGUGGGGUAAAAGGCCUACCAAGCCUUCGAUCUGUAGCUGGUCUGAGAGGACGACCAGCCACACUGGAACUGAGACACGGUCCAGACUCCUACGGGAGGCAGCAGUGGGGGAAUUUUGGACAAUGGGCGCAAGCCUGAUCCAGCAAUGCCGCGUGCAGGAUGAAGGCCUUCGGUUGUAACU